rnacentral:rRNA from 1 species
CUCGAAAGAGAGCCGUAACACAGGUGCUGCAUGGCUGUCGUCAGCUCGUGUCGUGAGAUGUUGGGUUAAGUCCCGCAACGAGCGCAACCCUUGUCAUUAGUUGCUACAUUCAGUUGGGCACUCUAAUGAGACUGCCGGUGACAAGCCGGAGGAAGGUGGGGAUGACGUCAAGUCCUCAUGGCCCUUAUAGGUGGGGCUACACACGUCAUACAAUGGCUGGUACAAAGGGUUGCCAACCCGCGAGGGGGAGCCAAUCCCAUAAAGCCAGUCGUAGUCCGGAUCGUAGUCUGCAACUCGACUACGUGAAGUCGGAAUCGCUAGUAAUCGUGGAUCAGAAUGCCACGGUGAAUACGUUCCCGGGUCUU